UGGGGAAUAUUGCGCAAUGGGGGAAACCCUGACGCAGCAACGCCGCGUGAUUGAAGAAGGCCUUCGGGUUGUAAAGAUCUUUAAUCAGGGACGAAAUUUGACGGUACCUGAAGAAUAAGCUCCGGCUAACUACGUGCCAGCAGCCGCGGUAAUACGUAGGGAGCAAGCGUUAUCCGGAUUUACUGGGUGUAAAGGGCGCGCAGGCGGGCCGGCAAGUUGGAAGUGAAAUCCCGGGGCUUAACCCCGGAACUGCUUUCAAAACUGCUGGUCUUGAGUGAUGGAGAGGCAGGCGGAAUUCCGUGUGUAGCGGUGAAAUGCGUAGAUAUACGGAGGAACACCAGUGGCGAAGGCGGCCUGCUGGACAUUAACUGACGCUGAGGCGCGAAAGCGUGGGGAGCAAACA
rnacentral:rRNA from 1 species